AGGGAUUAAAAACCAACAGGAAGGUGGGGGAACUUCGAGUCAAGAGGGAUGAAGAAAGAAGAGGAAGGUGGUGGACCUCUGAGUCAACAGGGAUGAAGAAAGAAGACGACGGAGGCGGACCUUCGAGUCAAGAGGGAUGAAGAAAGAAGAGGAAGGUAUUGGAACUUCGAGUCAAGAGGGAUGAAGAAAGAAGAGGAAGGUGGUGGAACUUCGAGUCAAGAGGGAUGAAGAAAGAAGACGACUGAGGUGGACCUUCGAGUCAAGAGGGAUCAAGACAGAAGAGGAAGGUGGUGGAACUUUGAGUCAAGAGUGUUGACGCCCUCCAUGUUUGGAAUACCAGGAAUUCUGCAUCCAAGCUGCACGUUUCCUGUUCAACACCGUAGGAGGUUCGGCACCUGAUUGGACAGAAAAGCAAGCGCACAAGAAGAUCCUGCGCCAGAACCCAGAUAAAAUUUCUUACUCUCCGCUUCAGAGACCUGCAGAACCGUUCCCGUCUUGCCUUUAAAAAGGCCUCUGCUUAUACCCUUCUCCCAGGGAGAACACAGAUCCCCCAAUAAAAUGCUGUAUUAAGCCAUAGGGUGUACACUGCAACUUCCAAGCCCACCUCUGCAUUAACUCACACCGACAAUAUUGCGCUGCACAUGCAAUUUUAACUUUGCGCUAGUUGUUGCAAUGUUUGGCUUUGGUGACGACAGUGUGUGUUUGUCAGCAGUUAGUGUAGGGUGGAAUCUUCAGGUGAAGUUUUUUGUGUUGGAGUUGGUUGGUGUUGGCGUAUUAUUGCGGAAGUUGCGGUGCAGGUGUUUGAUGUCAGAGUAUUAUUGCAGGAUGAGUGGCUUUGUGAAGGCUUGUCUAUGAGAUACAUAGUAGGGAGAGCAGUUUAGAGCGAAGGAUGAGAUGUGGAGAGUUUGUAGGUAGGUUUUGGAGAGUUGUCAGUUGAAGUGUUGGACAGGUACGAGUUAGGUGUAGGGUAAGGGCUGAAGUUGACUUUGCCUGUGCGGUGCAAUUGGAUUGGUGUGGAAAGCUAAUGGGAAGGGGGCUUUUGCAAGUGACACUACACCUCAAUAUCCCACUGGCAGCUCUAGAAAUUUUCCUGCUGCCUGGCUGGUCUGAGGAGCGUUGUGCGUGGCUAAUGGAGCGAUGCACGGCAAGGUUGGAUCUCCACACGUUCCAGAGAAAGUGUAGCAAGGGGGCAAAACCUCAUCUUGAGUGAUACUAUCUUGUCUAUGGAUGUUGAAUUGCCCUCUGUUCAGCAAGAUUGGUCUAAAUGUGCCACUUGGUCUUUUUCCCAAAUUUCCUUUUAGACUGUGUUCCACAUUGUCAAAAUAGAGCUUCCCCCCCCUUAAUUCUUAUCAUGUUAUUGUAAUUAGAAUGAAUAGAGAUAUUCCAGCUUGUCUCAGCUAAACUGGAAGAAGGGCAACAUCCAUGUUUAUUUUUUAAUAAAAAUAAAAUCAAAUCUGC